rnacentral:rRNA from 1 species
UGGGGAAUAUUGGACAAUGGGCGCAAGCCUGAUCCAGCCAUGCCGCGUGAGUGAUGAAGGUCUUAGGAUUGUAAAGCUCUUUCACCGGAGAAGAUAAUGACGGUAUCCGGAGAAGAAGUCCCGGCUAACUCCGUGCCAGCAGCCGCGGUAAUACGGGGGGGGCAAGCGUUGUUCGGAAUUACUGGGCGUAAAGGGCUCGUAGGCGGCCAACUAAGUCAGACGUGAAAUCCCUCGGCUUAACCGGGGAACUGCGUCUGAUACUGGAUGGCUUGAGUUUGGGAGAGGGAUGCGGAAUUCCAGGUGUAGCGGUGAAAUGCGUAGAUAUCUGGAGGAACACCGGUGGCGAAGGCGGCAUCCUGGACCAACACUGACGCUGAGUGAGCGAAAGCCAGGGGAGCAAA